rnacentral:rRNA from 1 species
UACGGGGGGAGCAAGCGUUGUUCGGAUUUACUGGGCGUAAAGGGCCAGUAGGCGGCCAACUAAGUCGGAUGUGAAAUCCCCAGGCUUAACCUGGGAACUGCAUCCGAUACUGGAUGGCUUGAAUUCGGGAGAGGGAUGCAGAAUUCCAGGUGUAGCGGUGAAAUGCGUAGAUAUCUGGAGGAAUACCGGUGGCGAAGGCGGCAUCCUGGACCGACAUUGACGCUGAACGGCGAAAGCUAGGGGAGCAAACGGG